GUAACAUCCCAUCUCAAGGCUGUGACACGAGUUUUGGUACUUAGAGCAACCAAUCGAUGUUGUUUCACAAAACUCUUGUCUCGGCACACGCUCUGUGAGGUUGUUCACAAUAUCAUUAUGCUAAGACGCUACAAUAAGAUGUAAUCUCUAUCUUUUUGACUUGUAUUAUCACUGAAGAAGACCGUUAUUAAAG
rnacentral:lncRNA from 13 species